CGCACAUUGCGCCCGCCAGUAUUCUGGCGGGCAUGCCUGUUCGAGCGUCAUUUCAACCACUCAGGCCCUGGUGCCUGGCGUCGGGGUGUUUCUGGCAACAGAAAGCCCCUAGAAACAGUGGCGGACCCGCCGCGGCUCCGAGCGUAGUAGUAAAAUAACUCGCUAUGGAGGUCCGUGGGGGGGAUUACCGGCCGUUAAACCUCUUCUUUAUUGAAGAACUCUCAAGGUUGACCUCGGAUCAGGUAGGAAUACCCGCUGAACUUAA
rnacentral:misc_RNA from 1 species